UCUUUCCUCUCUCUCUCCCGUUCACUUUCCCCUUUUCGACCCACUGUUCCCGCGUGUUCUGCUCGCAUCGCCUUCUUCCGCCCCGAUCUGCUUGCUUUCACGAUGACCUUCGCCGUCGAUCAUGCGUAUGGCUGAGAUCUAGGUUGUCCUGUGUUUUCUUGACGUGGUAUUGAUUCUUGAGUUUUACUGAACGUGGUCUGCUGGUGCUCAACUAUGCGUCCUUCUUCCGCCGUUCAUCGACCGUCUGCUGCUGCUGCUCAUUCUUAGCAGAGGUCUACCAGGUCCAGAAUAUCAUCUUGGCUCGAUCCUGCCCUGUACUGUGCUUAGUGCUCCUAUCAAGGAUGUGUGCUGUUGUUUACUUCGUCGUUCCUGUUUUAGAGACUCUUGCAGCUCGUUGUGCUUUGCCGGCCUUGUUUUACUUGUAUGAGGUGACUGAGGACGGCUCUGUUUUGGCUGGGGUAGAGCUUGAGCUUCCUUUGGAAGGCGUCGGCGCGGUGUCACGGAGGCAGUUCUUUUGGAGCACAGCCUGGCGUGGCUGCGUUGGCGCUUACGAUCACGCUGCUGUGCAGGCCAUCAAUUGAGACUACAACUAUGAAUGCAUGAUGGCGUAUAGGGAAUCCAUGCGUUCUGCUGUUCUUGUCGCUGUGCAUGCUGCUCGGCACUCCGGGAGAUUGGAGAGAGAGGUUUCUGUAGGGCCAGGGUUAUUUACCUCGCCUCCUGUUGAGCGGGGAACGUUAGAUUGGAAUUUAUCGUGCUCUCAGCUUAUGGCAUCCAUGCGUAAUGUGUAGAUUUUGUAAUUGAUUCUUGUACUGAAACUAGGCUGCUUACUGUUUGAGAGCUUUGUAUAACGAGAUGUGGUUUAUAGUGAGAUUAUUGCGUAGUCGGGUGUGCUGUUCUCUGUACCAAGUAUUCUCUUGCUCCCUGCGUCGCUUCUCUGUGUAAAAAAGUUUUCGGUAGGCUCUUGUCUUUGCUUCUUUUUGGGCUUGCAGCAGACAAAGUGAACACACUUUGAUUCCUGCCAGGAUUUUAGGUGGGCUAUUAGUGUAGGUGGGCUGUUAGUUUUGUUUCUCUUUGGGCUUGUGGAAAGCAGACUGAAUAGGCCUUGGCUCUUGCUAUCUCAACCUUGUUUUUGUAGUGUUUUGGUUUGUCCCAUUUCUUUUGUUUUGCUGUUAGAUGCUUAGCUUCUUGUUGGAUCCAUUUGAGGGUGUUUUGAUACCUUUUUAGUUCGGGUUUCCUUCGUUGGUUAUUUCUUCCCUUUCAUGUACAGGGAUGAAAGUGGUUGGUGGUAAAGCAUUUCCAGUGCCCUCUUUAUAUUAUUUUAUCCCUUUUAUUUGGGUUCUGUUCUUUUAGAUUUGUUUCUUACUUUCAGGAUUUUAAAAGGUUUUAGUGCUGCUGCGUUGAGUAUGGUAGUUCCUUGCUUUAGUCAAUGUUUUAUGCUCCGGCAUGUCCAUCUUUAGAUUUCUCUAGUUUGUUUGGGUGCUUUCUUGACAUUCCAGUGAUGUUUGUGCUAUGAUGUAGGAUUUGUAGUCCAGUGAUUUUGCUAUGACCUCCCUCACGCCUAUGUUCUACCGUAUACGCUAUGGAUAGCCCUCCUGUUGUUUCUCGCCGCCGCAGGGCCGCUGCUGGGGUGGCUCUUGUGCCUCUUCCUUGUGCCUCUCGUCGUAAGAAUCCUACGGAUAGCCCUCCUGUUGUCCGUCGCCCCCGUAGGGUGGCUGCUGGGGUGCCUCUUGUGUCUCUUCCUCGUCCCUCUCGUCGUAAAAAUCUUAUCUCAUCGGCGUUUGUUGGAUAUAUUGCUUCAGGCCUUCCCAAGAGAAAAUACGAUGGUUUCUUCCCUGUUCUUACCUCUGAGGUUACUGCUGUGAAUCGAAAGAAACGCAAGCUCAUACACGAUAGAUGGUUUGGUGGUCGUGUGCCAGGUGCUUAUUUAGUUCCUUUACUCUUUACUUCCUUAGACUUGUCUUAUGUUUAUGACGCCGUGUGAGCUUUUGGAUUGCUGUAUUUCGUACAUAUGAACCGUUUACUUCUCCCUUAGAUCCUUUGUAGGUUGGUUUCACCGAUGAGGAGGUUGCUAUCUUUAAAGGUAAUACAUGCGAUAUCUUGUUUGCGCUGCCUCUGUCUUACCAGAGUCUAUUGUCGUAUGAUUUGAUCUAAGGACAUACUUGUUCCAUAGCUGGUUAUGUAGGCAGGUCUUUCUAUGGAGGCCCAGCAUAUAAGUAUUCCCGUUGUAAGUCGAGCUUCUGGUAUCAGGAGAGGGCGAAGUCUGAAUCUGCAGUAAGCAAAAGGCGGGUUGUCUACAACCUCUGCUGCAAGGGUGGGAAAGUCUUUGUUGAGCCUUUCAAAAAACCGCCUCCAUUUCUUGUUGACCUUCUAAAAUUUGAUGGACCCCCACAGAGCAAGGAAUUCAUUGAAAAAAUACGACGAUAUAACUGUUUGUUUGCUUUUACUUCCAUGGGGGUGAAAAUAGAUCGUUCAGUAAAUAAUGGUGGUGGUCCAAACAUUUUUAAAAUCGCCGGCGGUAUAUGUCAUCAGAUGGGAUCUCUUUUGCCACAGGAAGGGAAUGCUCCAAAAUUUGCAGAGCUGUAUGUGUUUCAUGGUGGAAAUGAGAUUGAUAAUCGAAUUCAGGCUUUAAACAAGGAAGAUAGAAUUCUGGGUGGGUUAGAUAAGGAUAUUGUUAAUGGUCUGAAGCUCAUGCUUGAUGAGCACAAUUCUCUUGUAAAAAAAUUCCGCAUCGCUGAGGAGAUCUUGGCUGAGAUGAAUUUGCUGAAAUUUCUAUUCGUAUAGUUGCUCCUGGCAAAGAUGAUGGCCCUCAGUUUAAUCUUCCUUCCACGGAUGAGCUUGCAUGCUUAGUUGUUGAUGAAUUAACAAUGGAAACUCCUAGCCGUGAUAUAAUAAUACAUGGUAGGGGAACACAUUGGCAGCAAAUUUCGUCUUUACAUCCUGCUUAUAUGGCUUUACAAUACCCUCUACUCUUUCCGUUCGGUGAGCGUGGAUUUCAGCUUGGUGUGAAAUACAUAGCGGUAGAUCACGAAGGUUCCAACAAAAGAGAGAAAAUGACCAUGCAGGAUUUUUAUUGUUUUUGUUCACACUAUAAAGAAGGCCAGCAUAACCCUUGUUUGUCUUGUGGUCUGUUGUCUGAUCAGGCAGUUGUAGAUUCUCGUGUAUGCACAGAUGAGUCUAGGCUACAUUUUAUUUUGCUAUGCAACGAUGAUCUGAGAGCUGAGAAUUUACAAGGGCUUGUAGAUGCGGUUGGAGCGGGCCGCAUAGAUGGAAGUUCAGUUGGUAAAAAAAAUAUUGCCCUCUUCUUUUACUGGUGGACGCCGUUAUAUGAUCGAAAAUUUUCAGGAUGCGGUGGCUAUCGCCCGUGUGCAUGGUUGUCCUGAGCUUUUUACUACUUUCGCAUGUAAUCCUAAGUGGCCUGAGAUAACGGAAGCUCUUUCUGUUGAACCUGGCCAGAGACCACAUAAUAGGGCUGAUAUUACUGUUAGGGUGUAUCACAUGAAACUUAAUGAGUACCUUCGGCAAAGUGGUCGCAAGUAAUGCAACCUGUUGCUUACUUUCUCUGUGGAGAUUUUUUUUGAGUUUAACUUGACUACCUUCUCCCAGUUUUGCACACUGUGGAAUUUCAAAAAAGGGGCUUACCACACGCGCAUAUACUUGGCAAGACAAAGAGAAGCGGGGUGAGGUUAGCCCUUCUUUGAUUGAUUCGUUUGUGUGUGCACAAAUUCCUGAUCCCGUGGCAGAUCCUCUUGGAUAUGCCCUCGUUGCUGAGUUCAUGAUGCAUGGGCCAUGUGGAAGAAACAUCGAUUGAUGAAGUAGGCUUUCCUGUCUACAGGCGUCCAAAUAAUGGCCGUUUUAUCAUGAAAAACAAGACUAGGCUUGAUAAUAGGCACGUUGUGCCUUAUAACAUGGCAAUGCUAAAGAAAUAUCAAGCUCAUUUAAAUGUUGAGUGGUGUAACAAAACACAUGUCUUAAAAUAUCUGUGUAAGUAUGUUACCAAGGGCCCUGACAUGUCAAAAACUCUGUUUAAUAGGAUAAAAAAUUCUGAGGAUCCAAAUGAUAAUGGGGUGGAUGAAAUUGAAGAGUAUAGAGCGUGUCGAUACGUAUGUGCCCAUGAUUCAUUUUGGAGGUGUUAUGGGUAUGACAUACACAGUAAAGAACCUUCUGUAGAAAGACUUGCUGUUCAUUUACCAAAUAAACAUAUUGUGCGAUUUCGUGCAAGGGCCAACCUUAAGGCUAUUGUUAACAAUUCUUUGCUGCACAAAACCAUGUUAACAGAAUGGUUUGUUGCUAAUGCUAGAUACAAAAGUGCCAGGUCUUUAACAUAAUGUGAUUUUCCCACAAAAUGGUCUUGGAAUGCACAGAGUAAGGUAUGGAUGAAAAGAAAACUUGGCAAAAGAAUUGGUAGGAUUUACUAUGUGCAUCCUUCUGUUGGUGAACUUUAUUAUCUUAGAAUGCUGCUAAUGAUUGUAAAAGGCGCAAAGUCCUCGCGAGCGGGGGCUGGCAGUAGCGUGCGCGCGAUGCGCGUACACCUUGCCGUUACUGGCGCUCGCUUCUCGCGAGACCCUCUCGGGUGGACCGGCGGACCUCUCAGGAAACCAAAACCUCGUGAGCUCGUGAGGGGCUCCUCUCAGAAGGAAUGCACGUCCACAACCGCCAAACCAGUUUGAAGCCUGGCUAAACCAAAGUAAGUUACGGCAUUAAGCCCGCAAGGGGAGUCGCGAGCACCCAAAAGCACGCUUUAAGCCUAGCCUAAGGAAUGAAGUGGUAGUCUAUUUACAUGAAGGGCUUCCCCUCUCUAAAAUGCUCUUACAUCGUGAGGGGCCGUACCCAAGCUUUUGCGUGCAGGUUCAAAAAAAAGGAGCAAGGGCUCAGCCGGACAUAUCGCUCGCCUCGUCCCCCGAAUAGCUUCCGGACAGGCUGCUAGUGCCAUCGCUGUCGCUAUCUUCACUGCCAUCAGCCACACUGCCAUCAGCUUCGCCGCCAUCAACCACGUCUCCCUCAUCCGCGACGACCACCACAGCAACAACGUCAUCAUCAGAAGCAAAGGCCCUAACCAGAGCGUCCACAUUGUCGUCCACCCAGUGCGCGAGGUUGCCCCGAAUGACCGCGGGCACUAGGGCAAUGGCGGCGGCAAAAUUAAAGUCAGGAUUGGUGUUCAGGAGAUGGCUGAAGACGAGGGAGAAUGCGCGCCCGAGAAGGCCUUGGCUCUUUUCGUCCACAAGCUCGCGAGCCCUCUCAGCACGGCUCUCCAGGCACGUAACAACAUUAGUGAAGAAGCGAAGAUGGCUGGCGUAAUCCUCGGCGUGGGGAUGAGGGGCAUGCUCAUCGCAGAUGACACCAAGCGCCUGGUUGGCCUUCGUCCCGAGGUCCCAAGUAUGGGAGUGUGCUCGCGCAGUAGCAUCUGCCGGCGAAGUGCCUCCUCCCUGCUUUGCUGCGCAAAGGACUCGGCGCUGGCAACCCGCUGCUGAAGAGAGAGCAGCUCGUCACGGGCGGAGGCCAGCUCGGCCUGCACCGAGAUCAGGGCGGCUGCGACGGCUUUCUCGCGCUGUUCCACCUCAGCCAGCCCUGACCUUAGGGCAGCGGUCCUGCCCACACCUUCAGCUUCCACGAGCUUUAGCUUCAGGUCGU